rnacentral:rRNA from 1 species
UACGGGGGGAGCAAGCGUUGUUCGGAUUUACUGGGCGUAAAGGGCGCGUAGGCGGUCAGCACAAGUCAGUUGUGAAAUCUCCGGGCUUAACUCGGAAAGGUCAACUGAUACUGUGCGACUAGAGUGCAGAAGGGGCAACUGGAAUUCUCGGUGUAGCAGUGAAAUGCGUAGAGAUCGAGAGGAACACCAGUGGCGAAGGCGAGUUCCUGGACAAGUCCUGACACUGAGGCACGAAAGCUAGGGGAGCAAACAGG